rnacentral:rRNA from 1 species
UAGCUAACGCGUGAAGUUGACCGCCUGGGGAGUACGGUCGCAAGAUUAAAACUCAAAGGAAUUGACGGGGACCCGCACAAGCGGUGGAUGAUGUGGAUUAAUUCGAUGCAACGCGAAAAACCUUACCCCCCCYYSACAUGCCACUAACGAAGCAGAGAUGCAUUAGGUGCUCGAAAGAGAAAGUGGACACAGGUGCUGCAUGGCUGUCGUCAGCUCGUGUCGUGAGAUGUUGGGUUAAGUCCCGCAACGAGCGCAACCCUUGUCUCUAGUUGCUACGAAAGGGCACUCUAGAGAGACUGCCGGUGACAAACCGGAGGAAGGUGGGGAUGACGUCAAGUCCUCAUGGCCCUUAUGGGUAGGGCUUCMCACGUCAUACAAUGGUSCAUACAGAGGGUUGCCAAGCCGCGAGGUGGAGCUAAUCCCAGAAAAKGCAUCGUAGUCCGGAUCGUAGUCUG